CAGAGACAGAAACAUAGAACAGAAAAUUAGGUGACAGUUCAAAAACAACAACGGAAAGAACGGAAAGAACGGAAAGAACGGAAAGAACGGAAAGAACGGAAAGAACCUCCACAGAGACAGAAACAUAGAACAGAAAAUUAGGUGACAGUUCAAAAACAACAACAGAAAGAACGGAAAGAACGGAAAGAACCUCCACAGAGACAGAAACAUAGGGCAGAAAAUUAGGUGACAGUUCAAAAACAACAACAGAAAGAACGGAAAGAACGGAAAGAACGGAAAGAACCUCCACAGAGACAGAAACAUAGGGCAGAAAAUUAGGUGACAGUUCAAAAACAACAACAGAAAGAACGGAAAGAACGGAAAGAACGGAAAGUACGGAAAGAACCUCCACAGAGACAGAAACAUAGGGCAGAAAAUUAGGUGACAGUUCAAAAACAACAAAAAGAACGGAAAGAACGGAAAGAACCUCCACAGAGACAGAAACAUAGGGCAGAAAUUAGGUGACAGGUCAAGACCAACAACGGAAAGAACGGAAAGAACCUCCACAGAGACAGAAACAUAGGGCAGAAAAUUAGGUGACAGUUCAAAAACAACAACAGAAAGAACGGAAAGAACGGAAAGAACCUCCACAAACACAGAAACAUAGGGCAGAAAAUUAGGUGACAGUUCAAAAACAACAAAAAGAACGGAAAGAACCGAAAGAACCUCCACAGAGACAGAAACAUAGGGCAGAAAAUUAGGUCACAGUUCAAAAACAACAACGGAAAGAACGGAAAGAACGGAAAGAACGGAAAGAACGGAAAGAACGGAAAGAACGGAAAGAACGGAAAGAACGGAAAGAACGGAAAGAACGGAAAGAACCUCCACAGAGACAGAAACAUACGGCAGAAAAUUAGGUGACAGUUCAAAAACAACAAAAAGAACGGAAAGAACGGAAAGAAUGGAAAGAACAGAAAGAACCUCCACAGAGACAGAAACAUAGGGCAGAAAAUUAG
ensembl:lncRNA